rnacentral:rRNA from 1 species
CCUACGGGUGGCAGCAGUGGGGAAUAUUGGGCAAUGGGCGCAAGCCUGACCCAGCAACGCCGCGUGAAGGAAGAAGGCUUUCGGGUUGUAAACUUCUUUUCUCAGGGACGAAGAAAGUGACGGUACCUGAGGAAUAAGCCACGGCUAACUACGUGCCAGCAGCCGCGGUAAUACGUAGGUGGCAAGCGUUAUCCGGAUUUAUUGGGUGUAAAGGGCGUGUAGGCGGGAGCGCAAGUCAGAUGUGAAAACUCAGGGCUCAACCCUGAGCCUGCAUUUGAAACUGUGUUUCUUGAGUGCUGGAGAGGCAAUCGGAAUUCGGUGUGUAGCGGUGAAAUGCGUAGAUAUAUGGAGGAACACCAGUGGCGAAGGCGACGAUCUGGCCUGCAACUGACGCUCAGUCCCGAAAGCGUGGGGAGCAAAUAGGAUUAGAUACCCUGGUAGUC